AAAAUGAUGAGGAAUGAAUUUUAAUAUUUCGACAGACUGAUAACUGUUUAUUUUUAUUUUAAAGGAUUUAUUUACUCUUAUUAUAUAUGUUAUGAUUUUUAAUUUGUUUGUACAAUCGACGUAUUUUAUAUGUCUAUAGAGUUGAACACGCUGGGGAAUAUUUGGAGAGAAAAUGUUCGCAUUGUUGGCAACUCUCGGAAUUAUAUCAGCAAUAUCGAUGACACAGAGUGUUGCCAAGCUGAGAAUACCCAAGGGAGAUGAGUUGUUUGUGCCAGUGGGGUAUAAUGGAUUGGAUCUGCUUGUAGUAAAGUGUAUGCAAUAUAUGCCACAAUUGAUCAGCAAAACUGCCAUAUAUCAACAGUAUAGGAGAUCUUCAAACCAUCCGCACGUUGAAGCUGGACCGGGCUUCUUCAAAACGGAUCCGGUGGAAUUCAAUCCCGAACAACUCGCCAAGGAGUUUAAAAAGUUAUUUGCUCUAAAGAAAAAGAUGGAAGAGAAAAAUGAGCCAUUAAAUCCUGA